rnacentral:rRNA from 1 species
GGAUUGGAAAUAGCAAUAUUACCAUGAGAGUGGCGCACGGGUGCGUAACACGUAUGCAAUCUGCCCCUAACUGGAAGAUAGCCCGGCGAAAGUCGGAUUAAUAUUCCAUAACAUUGCGAAACGGCAUCGUUUUGUAAUUAAAGCUCCGGCGGUUAGGGAUGAGCAUGCGCGACAUUAGCUAGAUGGCGAGGUAACGGCUCACCAUGGCUACGAUGUCUAGGGGGUCUGAGAGGAUUAUCCCCCACACUGGUACUGAGACACGGACCAGACUCCUACGGGAGGCAGCAGUAGGGAAUAUUGGGCAAUGGACGCAAGUCUGACCCAGCCAUGCCGCGUGCAGGAUGACGGCCCUAUGGGUUGUAAACUGCUUUUGUACAGGAAGAAACCCCUUUACGUGUAGAGGGCUGACAUUACUGUAAGAAUAAGGAUCGGCUAACUCCGUGCCAGCAGCCGCGGUAAUACGGAGGAUCCAAGCGUUGUCCGGAUUUAUUGGGUUUAAAGGGUGCGUAGGCGGACCAUUAAGUCAGAGGUGAAAGUUUGCAGCUUAACUGUAAAAUUGCCUUUGAAACUGGUGGUCUUGAGUACAGUUGAGGUGGGCGGAAUGUGUCAUGUAGCGGUGAAAUGCUUAGAUAUGAUACAGAACACCGAUUGCGAAGGCAGCUCACUAAACUGUAACUGACGCUGAGGCACGAAAGCGUGGGGAGCGAACAGGAUUAGAUACCCUGGUAGUCCACGCCCUAAACGUUGAAUACUCGUUGUUGGCGAUAUACAGUCAGCGACUAAGCGAAAGCAUUAAGUAUUCCACCUGGGGAGUACGACCGCAAGGUUGAAACUCAAAGGAAUUGACGGGGGCCCGCACAAGCGGAGGAGUAUGUGGUUUAAUUCGAUGAUACGCGAGGAACCUUACCUGGGCUUGAAAGUUAGCGACUGCUGCCGAAAGGUGACUUCCCUUCGGGGCGCGAAACUAG